rnacentral:rRNA from 1 species
CGCGUAGGCGGAUGUUACAGUCAGGCGUGAAAUUCCUGGGCUCAACCUGGGGGCUGCGUUUGAUACGUGAUGUCUGGAGUUCGGAAGAGGGUCGUGGAAUUCCCAGUGUAGAGGUGAAAUUCGUAGAUAUUGGGAAGAACGCCGGUGGCGAAGGCGGCGACCUGGUCCGAUACUGACGCUGAGGCGCGAAAGCGUGGGGAGCAAACAGGAUUAGAUACCCUGGUAGUCCACGCUGUAAACGAUGUGCGCUGGAUGUUGGGUGACAUAGUCAUUCAGUGUCGUAGCUAACGCGAUAAGCGCACCGCCUGGGGAGUACGGCCGCAAGGUUGAA